GUUGUCUAUUUUCUAACAAUGAGUCUUUUUUGGGGGUUGUCUAUUUUCUAACAAUGAGGCCAGUCUUUUUGGGGGGGGGUUGUCUAUUUUCUAACAAUUAGUCUUUUUGAGGGGGUUGUCUAUUUUCUAACAAUGUAUCUUUUUGAGGGGGUUGUCUAUUUUCUAACAAUGUAGCCAAUUUUCAAACAAUGUAGCCAGUCUUUUUGGGGGUUGUCUAUUUUCUAACAAUGUAGCCAUCUUUUUGGGGGGUUGUCUAUUUUCUAACAAUGUAGCCAAUUUUCAAACAAUGUAGCCAGUCUUUUUGGGGGGUUGUCUAUUUUCUAACAAUGUAGCCAUCUUUUUGAGGGGGUUGUCUAUUUUCUAACAAUGUAGCCAAUUUUCAAACAAUGUAGCCAGUCUUUUUGGGGGGUUGUCUAUUUUCUAACAAUGUAGCCAGUCUUUUGGGGGGUUGUCUAUUUU
ensembl:lncRNA